GACGGAGGGUGCGAGCGUUGUCCGGAAUCAUUGGGCGUAAAGGGCGCGUAGGUGGCCCGGUCAGUUCGUGGUGAAAGCGCGGGGCUCAACCCUGCGUCGGCCAUGAAUACUGCCGCGGCUGGAGCACUGUAGAGGCAGGCGGAAUUCCGGGUGUAGCGGUGGAAUGCGUAGAGAUCCGGAAGAACGACCGGUGGCGAAGGCGGCCUGCUGGGCAGUUGC
rnacentral:rRNA from 1 species